rnacentral:lncRNA from 1 species
CGGGCGGGGGCCCGCGGUGGGGGCGACCCGGGGCGGCGGCGCCGAGCGGGUUAAGUGGCUCCCUGGAAGUCCUACGGUCCCAGCAACGGGCCGGCCAAUGGGAAGUGAGCCGGCUGAUGUCACUGGCAGCACUCCGCCAAUCAGCGCCCGGUCCCGAAAGUCUGCUGUACCAGAGGAGGAUGACAGAGAACAAUACUACUCAGCAGAUGCCAAUGAGGAUACAGUCUGUGAGCUGAUUUCAUCUGCUUCUCCGGUUUCUGAAGAUGCAGUAUCUCAGAAUGCCAGCAGUCAGUGAAGUUCUGCAGUUUUUAAAGCAUUUCUUUGUCAAGAAGUAAACUUGUUCUUUGAAGUAAACUUCUAGAUGAACUCUGCUACUUCCACAAUAUUGUUGCUGGUAAGUGGAUUUUUUAUGGAAUUAUUGACAGAGUUUGUCUUCUGCAUGCUGCUUUAUGCAG